CGCGUAGGCGGUCUCGUGCGUCGAGGGUGAAAUCCCCGGGCUUAACCCGGGAACUGCCUUCGAUACGGCGGGACUUGAGUCCGGGAGAGGGGAGCAGAAUUCCCAGUGUAGCGGUGAAAUGCGUAGAUAUUGGGAGGAAUACCAGUGGCGAAGGCGGCUCCCUGGACCGGUACUGACGCUGAGGCGCGAAAGCGUGGGUAGCAAACA
rnacentral:rRNA from 1 species